rnacentral:rRNA from 1 species
UACGUAGGAGACGAGCGUUGUCCGGAAUUACUGGGCGUAAAGCGCGUGUAGGCGGAGGAGCAAGUCUGCUGUGAAAGCCCCUGGCUUAACCGGGGUGGUCGGUGGAAACUGCUCGUCUGGAGGACGGUAGAGGUAGGUAGAAUUCCCGGUGUAGUGGUGAAAUGCGUAGAGAUCGGGAGGAAUACCUGUGGCGAAGGCGGCCUACUGGGCCGGACCUGACGCUGAGACGCGAAGGCGUGGGGAGCGAACGGG